rnacentral:ncRNA from 1 species
UUCUUAUCCAGAGAGGUGGAGGGACUGGCCCUUUGAAACCUCAGCAACAGACAUCUAAGUACUGUGCUAAUUCCAGAAGCGUAGAGCUUGAAGAUAAGAA